CGGAACAUGCAGAGGAAUCUUCUUCUUGCUUUUCCCAAAUAAUUUUGUUAGCUUCUCUCUCACAGGCUCCGUUGUCAGAAUCCGACCAAGACUUCUGCAGCGGGAAGAAUCUAAAUCGAGAGAGGGGUCAAUAUUGGACCAUGCAAGGAUUACGAAGAGAAAUCGCGAGCUUUGGUUCAUCUUCGAAAGUCGAAACACCAAAUCAUUUGUUGCCUUUCAGAGU